rnacentral:lncRNA from 12 species
CAAGUCUUCUGCACUCUGAGACAUAACUUAAAUGUGUGAGCUGCUGUUUUCCAGCAAGGGAGGAUGGACAGGAAGACAUGUGUGUCUCCUCAGUCACUACAAGAAGAACUGAUGAUGUAUUUUCCAGUUUGCCAGGCAAACAAGCACCAGGCACCAAUAUCAAAACCAGCCCAGAUUCCAAUGAAAACCAGCAAAGAAAGAGUAGAGUAGAAAUGAAACUGCUUCGUUUUGCUUGACAAACGUGUGCUCCACCCUGCCCGAUUCCUUCAGUUUGCCUGGAAGGACUCUCCCUCCUUGCCCUGUGGGCUGGACUCCCGCUCCCCUCCCACUCCUGAGCCCUUGAAGGCUGUGCCAAGGAGUGAGCUGGCACUGCCGGGCUGCGGCACGGCCCUGCCUCUGCCUCCCUCCCGCGCUGCUGCGGGCCCGGGGCAGGGAAUACCCCGCCCUUUGGCUGGGGCAGAGGAGGCUCCGAGACUUCUUUCAUCCCAGCCCUGUCUGGGAAAGCUCCUGAACCUGCUCUGCGUCUGUGAGCGCAGGAAUCCUCAGCAGCAAAGAGUGCUGGCUCACCUGCAGUGAUUCCUGGGGGCAGGCUGCUGUCAGACACCCCUUGUCCGUGUGAAAUAAUCAUCCACGUGGCACCCGUGAGAGCUGCAGAUUCAAUCACGGUUGGAAGGGAC